UAGGGUUCCUGUCCUCCAGAAAUGAGGGGGCCGAGUUCUCACCGUCAGGCGCACCGCGGUCCUGCUGUGCGCGGCUCCUCCCGCUGCAGACGCCUCAGCCCCGGCCUCCCCGCCGCCAUCUUGACUCUCCGGGCGGCGCUUGCGCACAUGCGCCGUGGAGCUGAGGCGUCGGGAGCAGCUCUUUGUCGGCCGGAGCUCCCGUCUGAAAAGACAAGGGCAAGACUUCCGCACGCAGUGCCCGUGAGCGAGUGAAACUGGGCCAAGCACAAAGGAAAGAAGGGUUCAGUCAGUUUAUCCACUGCCUGUGAUGGUGACCAAGAGAAUACAGCAGAAAUGAGGCUGCACCGGCUUCUGGGCCGCUUCUGCUUCCUCUUCACGGGAAGUGCUCCUGAGCCACCACGUGAGCAGCUUGGUUACUUUGCAGAAAAGGUGAUGUGGAGGGCACAAGGGGCCCAGGCAAGCUGAGGCUUCCCACCUCCUUGUCAAGGCAUUGAGCCCAUGAGAUGGGUCAUCUUGAAGCUUGCAGGCCAGCCCAUCCUCCAGCCAAAUACCUGAGCGACCCCAGUGGAUGCCACGUGGAGCAGAAGAAUUGCAUACCUGAACCCUGAAGUAAUUCCUGACCCCCAAAUUGUGAAAUAUAGUUAACGUGGCCGUUGUUUUUCGCUGCUGACAUGAGGGGGAUUUAUUACGCAGCGAUGAUAACUGGAGUGCCCCAGUUCAUCACUGUUCCUCCUCUUUGUCGUCUCUCUUUGUCACUGGCAUCUAUUUUUUCCCUUCUUCUCCGCAGGACAGCCUCAUAGCUUCCCCAACUUUGGUUUUACCCAAAUGUUAUUUAUUAUGAUAACAGUGGUUCAGAGAAUAAUAUAGAAAGUUAAUUGCUAGACACAUUGCUUAAUAGACUAGAAUGUGAAUUGUAAUCAUUACGUUUGGAUGUUUUCAGGAUUUAGGUCUGUCUUCUACAUGGUGAGACAAUGUAUUCACUUGGAAAUAGAGUUUUUAAAAGCUCUAAUCAACAUUAUAAUUACUUAUGUUCAUGGAAGUAUUGGUAUUACUAAGCCCUAUGGCACCUCAAGGUUUGACUUUCUUUUCCAUUCAGAUCUGUCAGAAUUCAUAAAGCACAACCUGAAUUAAUGCAAAGAAAUAUAUCUAACCUGCAGUGAUGUAAUUAGUGUCCAAAAACUUAUAGGAAAAAAAUAACACUUAAAAAAUAUUCAAAGCAGAAUCAAGUUUGGAAUUCUGUGUUUCUCAGGGGGAUUUAGAGAGAUGAGAAAAGAAAAGGUGAAAAGGUUGCAGUUGUUUGCAUAGUCGUGCCGUUUUGAUUUUUCUUCUAAAAUUUUAG
ensembl:lncRNA